GAUGAACGCUGGCGGCGUGCCUAAUACAUGCAAGUCGAGCGAACAGACGAGGAGCUUGCUCCUCUGACGUUAGCAGCGGACGGGUGAGUAACACGUGGAUAACCUACCUAUAAGACUGGGAUAACUUCGGGAAACCGGAGCUAAUACCGGAUAAUAUAUUGAACCGCAUGGUUCAAUAGUGAAAGACGGUUUUGCUGUCACUUAUAGAUGGAUCCGCGCCGCAUUAGCUAGUUGGUAAGGUAACGGCUUACCAAGGCAACGAUGCGUAGCCGACCUGAGAGGGUGAUCGGCCACACUGGAACUGAGACACGGUCCAGACUCCUACGGGAGGCAGCAGUAGGGAAUCUUCCGCAAUGGGCGAAAGCCUGACGGAGCAGCGCCGCGUGAGUGAUGAAGGUCUUCGGAUCGUAAAACUCUGUUAUUAGGGAAGAACAAAUGUGUAAGUAACUAUGCACGUCUUGACGGUACCUAAUCAGAAAGCCACGGCUAACUACGUG
rnacentral:rRNA from 1 species